AUAGAUGGACACAACCUGGAGGGAUUAUGCUGUCUAGCGUUCCGUCUUUUUCCAUCCAGCAGAAAAGGUACUGUAAGGGGACUUGUCCCGUUCUCGGUUAUCACUACAAACUACUAUAAACAAAGGCACACUACAUUCUUUACUAGUUCACAUAUGUCUAAUAUGCGGAAAUAUAGAAAUUGAAAAUUAAAAAUAAAGUAACUGGGUGACCUUCGUCCAAAAGGGGUGUUUCCUUUUGUGCGUUGAUCUUGUUAUUUUCGAUUACACGGACCACACUUACACACAUAACAUACUAACGUACCUGCAAAUAUGCACUACCAGUUAAACUCUAUUUCCUCUAUUUUAAAAUGUAGAUUAUUUUAACUUUUCUAGAUAUAUAGAUUUUGCUACGUACUCCUUCCAUCCCCA
rnacentral:lncRNA from 1 species